AGCAGCGUGGCUCAGUGGAAAGAGCACGGGCUUGGGAGUCAGAGGUCAUGGGUUCGAAUCCCGGCUCUGCCC
rnacentral:tRNA from 1 species